rnacentral:rRNA from 1 species
AUUGAACGCUGGCGGCAGGCCUAACACAUGCAAGUCGAGCGGAUGACGGGAGCUUGCUCCUUGAUUCAGCGGCGGACGGGUGAGUAAUGCCUAGGAAUCUGCCUGGUAGUGGGGGACAACGUUUCGAAAGGAACGCUAAUACCGCAUACGUCCUACGGGAGAAAGCAGGGGACCUUCGGGCCUUGCGCUAUCAGAUGAGCCUAGGUCGGAUUAGCUAGUUGGUGAGGUAAUGGCUCACCAAGGCGACGAUCCGUAACUGGUCUGAGAGGAUGAUCAGUCACACGGGAACUGAGACACGGUACAGACUCCUACGGGAGGAAGCGGUUGGUAAUAUUGGCCAAUGGGCGAUAGGCUGAUCCAGCCAUGCCGCGUGUGUGAAGAAGGUCUUCGGAUUGUAAAGCACUUUAAGUUGGGAGGAAGGGCAGUAAGUUAAUACCUUGCUGUUUUGACGUUACCGACAGAAUAAGCACCGGCUAACUCUGUGCCAGCAGCCGCAGUAACAC